CGGCGUCCGUGAUGAUCGCGAUUACCUACAUUGUUUGACCCCCGUGAGAACAGCCCUGGCUGAGACGCCU